GACGAACGCUGGCGGCGUGCUUAACACAUGCAAGUCGAACGGAAAGGCCCUGCUUUUGUGGGGUGCUCGAGUGGCGAACGGGUGAGUAACACGUGGGUAACCUGCCCUUGACUUUGGGAUAACUUCAGAAAACUGGGGCUAAUACCGGAUAGGAGCUCCUGCUGCAUGGUGGGGGUUGGAAAGUUUCGGCGGUUGGGGAUGGACUCGCGGCUUAUCAGCUUGUUGGUGGGGUAGUGGCUUACCAAGGCUUUGACGGGUAGCCGGCCUGAGAGGGUGACCGGCCACAUUGGGACUGAGAUACGGCCCAGACUCCUACGGGAGGCAGCAGUGGGGAAUAUUGCACAAUGGGCGGAAGCCUGAUGCAGCAACGCCGCGUGCGGGAUGACGGCCUUCGGGUUGUAAACCGCUUUCGCCUGUGACGAAGCGUGAGUGACGGUAAUGGGUAAAGAAGCACCGGCUAACUACGUG
rnacentral:rRNA from 1 species